rnacentral:rRNA from 1 species
AUGGCUAUAACAGGGUUUAUGUUAUUCGUAUUAACUACUACUCUAGGUGGAAUGUUUUUAUGUGGUGCUAACGAUUUAAUAACUAUCUUUGUAGCUCCAGAAUGUUUCAUUUUAUGUUCCUACCUGUUGUCUGGAUAUACCAAGAGAGAUCUACGGUCUAACGAGGCUACUAUGGAAUAUUUACUCAUGGGUGGGAUAGGCUCUUCUAUUCUGGUUCAUGGUUUCUCUUAG